GCUUACGGCCAUACCACCCUGAACACGCCCGAUCUCGUCUGAUCUCGGAAGCUAAGCAGGGUCGGGCCUGGUCAGUACUUGGAUGGGAGACCGCCUGGGAAUACCAGGUGCUGUAGGCU
rnacentral:rRNA from 1 species